rnacentral:rRNA from 1 species
UGGGGAAUCUUGCACAAUGGGGGCAACCCUGAUGCAGCGACGCCGCGUGAGCGAUGAAGCCCUUCGGGGCGUAAAGCUCUUUCGACCGGAACGAUAAUGACGGUACCGGGAGAAGAAGCUGCGGCUAACUACGUGCCAGCAGCCGCGGUAAUAAGUAGGCAGCAAGCGUUGUCCGGAGUUACUGGGCGUAAAGAGUGCGUAGGCGGUUUUCCAAGUUCGGUGUGAAAUCUCCCGGCUUAACUGGGAGGGUGCGCCGAAGCCUGGGAUGCUGGAGUGUGGGAAAGGCAGGCGGGGUUCCUGGUGUAGCGGUGAAAUGCGUAGAUAUCAGGAGGAACACCGGCGGUGUAGACGGCUUGCUAGACCAUAACUGACGCUGAGGCACUAAAGCGUGGG